rnacentral:rRNA from 1 species
CACUUCUAAGGAAGGCAGCAGGCGCGCAAAUUACCCAAUCCUGACUCAGGGAGGUAGUGACAAGAAAUAACAAUAAACCGGCUUAUGCCGGUUUAAUUGGAAUGAGUACAAUUUAAACAUCUUAACGAGGAACAAUUGGAGGGCAAGUCUGGUGCCAGCAGCCGCGGUAAUUCCAGCUCCAAUAGCGUAUACUAAAGUUGUUGCAGUUAAAAAGCUCGUAGUUGGAUUUCUGUGGGGACGGAGCGGCCGGCCGCAACACGCGGUUCGAGCUAGCGCUUUCCCUACAUCCUGCCGCGAACCGUGCUACCAUUAAUUUGGUGGCGCCGGGGAUCGGCUCGAUUACUUUGAGAAAAAUAGAGUGUUCAAAGCAGGCCACAUGCCUUGAAUAAGUUAGCAUGGAAUAAUAACUAAGGACUUCGGUUCUAUUUUGUUGGUGUUCGGGACUGAAGUAAUGAUUGAUAGGGACAGUUGGGGCGGUCUGUAUUCCAAAGCGAGAGGUGAAAUUCUUAGACCUUCGGAAGACAAACAGCUGCGAAAGCGUUCCGCAAGGAUGUUCCCUUUGAUCAAGAACGAAAGUUGGGGGAUCGAAGACGAUCAGAUACCGUCGUAGUCUCAACUAUAAACUAUACCAGCUAGGGAUCGGCCAACGUUAUUUUAUACCGACUUGGUCGGCACCUUAUGAGAAAUCAAAGCAUCUGGGUUCCGGGGGGAGUAUGGUCGCAAGGCUGAAACUUAAAGGAAUUGACGGAAGGGCACCACCAGCCGUGGAGCCUGUGGCUUAAUUUGACUCAACACGGGAAAACUUACCAGGUCCAGACAUAGUAAGGAUUGACAGAUUGAUAGCUCUUUCUUGAUUCUGUGGGUGGUGGUGCAUGGCCGUUCUUAGUUGGUGGAGUGAUUUGUCUGGUUAAUUCCGUUAACGAACGAGACCCCAGCCUGCUAAAUAGCGCGCGUGAGCUUUGCUCGCGGCGAGCUUCUUAGAGGGACUAUGAUGCGCGAUAGCACAUGGAAGUUUGGGGCAAUAACAGGUCUGUGAUGCCCUUAGAUGUUCUGGGCCGCACACGGGCUACACUGGCGCCUGCAACGAGCAUAUCAGCUGGCCCGAGAGGGUCUUGGCUAAUCUUUUGAACCGGCGCCGUGCUUGGGAUUGACCUUUGCAAUUGUUGGUCAUGCAACGAGGAAUGCCUCGUAAACGCGAGUCAUCAGCUCGCAUUGAAUACGUCCCUGCCCUUUGUACACACCGCCCGUCGCUCCUACCGAUGAAUGUUCCGAUGAAAUUUUCGGAGAGCACCUGUGAACUUGGCUCUGCCUUGCGAACGGGAGGCUCAAAGUCACUUAAAUCUGAACAUUUCGAGG